AGGAGUGCCGUGGCCUAUAGCAUCAUCCUUAUGAUUGCGAAAAUCACCUCCUGCCUGGAGCACCCAGGGAAGCAAGACAAAUAGGCAACCAUAAGCAUUUGAGUGGAUGCAGUAAGCGAUGAGGGAUGGUUGACGUGAAUCCAGAGUGAGCUGAACGGUGUGGAAUGGCUAACCUGAGAUUUGGAGGUUCCUGAUGGUGUGAGGUGGGAGGAGGGCACAGAGUGAUAUCCAAG